CUUAGACACUCAGAGUGGAGUUGCUCCAGUUACCUCCAAGGCCUCCUGGAAGGAGAAUGGGGUGGGAGGCACAGGUGUCUUGGAUUUGGAGAGGACCCAAGAAGAUGAGCUUUGCAUGGCCUUCUUUUGAGCCAGUAUGAGAUGUAAACUGGAUGCAAAGACUACAUAUGUCUCAGGCAAGGAAGCAGAGAACUGUAAAAGUAUUCCCCUUUAAUUCUGCCUCCGAGAGGAGGGACUGUGUAGAGGCAGUACAGAGCAUGGGUGACAAUGGCGGCAGUCGGCAGCAUGUGAGUGGGGUGUGGAAGGGAGGACGUGGGUUGGGGCGUAGUCACUGCAAGGGGGAGAAAGGCACAGUCACAUCUACAAAGAACAAGAGUCUGAUGUGGGACAGGACCCCACUGGGCGCUGAGACACAGGAGGGGGGCGGAGAAGCGGGGAGAACGUGGGGCAAGUUUCAGAACACUCAAGUGGGCAGCGAGAAUUAGGAGGCGGAGGCAGGCUGGGCACGGGGCCAAGGAGACGAUACAAGAGCAAGGCUAAAACUCCUCUAAAAUAGAAAGGCACUUUCACAUGUACAUACUACAGAUGUACAUUGACACAAUUAGGUAACAGUCACAAGCAGGAAGCUACCAGUACUGCAACUGAUCAAACCAACAGGAAAGGACAAUACUGAUUUAAUUAUGUGGGUAGGAGUUACCCUUGGGUACGUAGGUAAAUAGCAGUUGCUCCUGUUACACAGCCACUUACUAUACUUAAAUAACUAUAAUAACCAUCGCACUACACACUGAACUUGGAUGAAUGCUCUAAGGGGGGCAUUCACAAAUGCACGGUUUACAUAUUUUCUUUUACUAAACAGUUUCUAAGAUAAGCAUUAUGGAACCCAGUACAAUUAUUUAAACAUACAAAAUCCCCUACAUAAUUGAAAGAUACAGGUACCCAUCUUGAUUAUACCACAUACAGUAAUUUUUUAAAUUUUAAAUAAAGUAUACUAGGGUUAAGUGAAAGCUCCCAAUCCAGCUUGUUUUCUUGAUCUGAUGAGGUUUUGCCCAUCACCCUGCACCGAGCUCAGUGCUCCAGCCCAGCUGGAGGUUGGCUCAG